ACAGAACAUUGCCACUGUGAUGACUACUAUUUUUCUGCCCUCAUCUUAUCCCAGCCUACCCGUCAGCCACCCUGGCUUGUAGUCUGUUUCUCAAGCACUUAUGCUUCAAGUACCUUGCCUUUGAGGUGUAUUGUUCCUCAUGCUCAGGGCAAAGUCUAUUACCAUUCCUUUGGAGGUGAAACUAAGAAGUUAUAUCUGUCUCUCUGGCCCAUGAAGAUAAAUAAGUACUGUCUCAAUGGUGCUUUUGCUUACUGAAUGUAUGACCUAGGUUUCUAGCCAUGAAGUCCCUACGGAGAUGAAGAGUGGGAAGCAGUACAGUAACUGGUUGAAACCGUUCCACAAGGGAAAUUUCACUAGAUUUCAGAGAUACUGAUAGAUUACAAAUACUCUGGAAAUCUACCACUCAAGCUUGUGGACGCUUGAGUAAACUUUGGAUGACUAAUAGGUAACUAACUCCUGGUGAGGGCAAAAUAAAGCAGAUAAAUGAUAUAUGUUAAACUAGUAAAUUAUUUAAAGUUUCUACCUUCUUAUUAGGGCAAUUUCUGUUUUGUCCGAAACAUAAGGAAAAUGGAUUCUGUUUAUGUGGAAAAGCUGAAAACUGUUUCUUUAUUGAGUUUCCAUAUUCAUAACUCCAGCAAAUAAUUAAUGUAACAAAUCUGAUUUCAUGAAAAGUAAUUCAAUUUUAUGAUGUCUACAACAAUUAAAUUUAUCAAGACCCAUAAUUAUAAAAUAGAAAAAAGCAUGAUAAUCUGUGAAAUUACAUAUAUCAAAAUGUUUCCAUAAGAGGAUUUAUUUUUUUACAUAUUAACAAGUAUAUAUAUUAUAAAACUCAGAUUAUUUUAUAAUUUUAUAAUAAAACACAAUAGAUUUUUUAGUUUAAGAAUUGAAAUUUGGACUUAACCUUUGGACAGUUCCACGUGAUGUUAAUAAUAUAUUUUAGUCAUUUAAAAUAUUCUGACUGUUCUUAUUUAUGGAAUCAUUCAUUAGGGGCCCUUAGUCCAGAAA
ensembl:lncRNA